rnacentral:sRNA from 1 species
AUGUCUGAAAGCUCCUCAGGUCAAAACACAAGUAGUCAAGAGAUUUGUCCAUCUAAUUCACCAUACUACUCUGAUCCAAGUGAGACCCACACUGGGUCAGCUCCAUCAAGGAGAAGAACAUUCCACCCACGUUUGGAUUCUGGAAUAUCAUCCCUGCUUCCAUCAGAUUCUUGUAAGUACCUCACUUUGCAGAAGGUAGAACAACAUGACAUUCAAGGAAGUCAGCUGUGUUGCCCAAGAGUAAGAGAAGGACCCUCUGAAGAAGAGCAACUUUUCAGACAGGUAGAGUGUGCCUUGCUCCCAAGGAAAAGAGUUCUUGACAAAAACAAAUGGGAAAUAUGGCUACAAGAAAACUGGGAAGACUGCAAGAAUUUGAACAUUUCAUUUCAGGAUUUGGGGGAUCCUUACCAAGUUGAAGAUUUUAACAGAAUUCUUAGAAGACUAAUUCGAGUUGAAACCCUCUGGUUAGUGGAUAAUUCACUGCUGGACUUAAGUGUCAUAAGAUUGCCAAGCUGCAGAAUUUUAAAUAUGAGCAAAAAUCAUCUCACAUCUUUCAAACAAUUACCAAAGAUACCUCAGAUACAGCAUUUAUCCUUGGCCGAAAACCACAUUGAGACUCUUACUGGAUUCUCCAGUUUACGGUGCACUCCACUGGAAUCCCUUAUUCUCAGGAGGAACCCUUGUGAGUUCCACCAAAAUUACAGGAAGCGAUCCUCCAAUAAGAAGACAGCACAAUUUAAAAGAGAAAGGACUUAAUGAUAGAGCUAAUAGUAGUAUUCUCCUGUUUGCCAAACUUAAAAAUGCUGGAUGGAAUCUUGAAGCUACCAGAAGAUUGCUCAUCACCAGAAACCAAUAUUUUUUCAAAAAUAUGCCUAGUAUCCUAA